rnacentral:tRNA from 1 species
GCCAGCUUGGCUUAGUGGCAGAGCGUCGCUCUCGUAAAGCGAAGGUCGCAGGUUCGAUUCCUGCAGUUGGCA